AACCUCCGCAAUGUGAGAAAUCGCGACGGGGGGAUCCCAAGUGCCAUUCUUAACGGGAUGGCUUUUCAUUAGUGUAAAGAGCUUUUGGAAUAAGGGCUGGGCAAGACCGGUGCCAGCCGCCGCGGUAACACCGGCAGCUCUAGUGGUAGCAGUUUUUAUUGGGCCUAAAGCGUCCGUAGCCGGUUUAAUAAGUCUCUGGUGAAAUCCUGUAGCUUAACUGUGGGAAUUGCUGGAGAUACUAUUAGACUUGAGACCGGGAGAGGUUAGAGGUACUCCCAGGGUAGAGGUGAAAUUCUGUAAUCCUGGGAGGACCGCCUGUUGCAAAGGCGUCUAACUGGAACGGUUCUGACGGUGAGGGACGAAAGUUAGGGGCGCGAACCGGAUUAGAUACCCGGGUAGUCCUAACUGUAAACGAUGCGGACUUGGUGUUGGGGUGGCUUUGAGCUGCUCCAGUGCCGAAGGGAAGCUGUUAAGUCCGCCGCCUGGGAAGUACGGUCGCAAGACUGAAACUUAAAGGAAUU
rnacentral:rRNA from 1 species